rnacentral:sRNA from 1 species
ACGCUGCGUUUGCGGGUGGUAGCGGUUAUUAGCGGUUGGCACCAAUCAUAGAAACCGCUAGAUACCGCUUUGGAUCGCUCGAAAUCGCCAGAUUUCAAAAGCUCCUUCCCGCAAGCGUUUGCGGUUGCGGGCGGUAGCGGUUAGGUUAAAAAAAAUAUAUUAAUUAAUUAAAAUAAUUAUGUCUUCCACCCAAACCUUAUACUUAUUCUUAUCAGAAAACCCUAAUCAAUGAAACCCUAUUCUCUCAAUUAUGGCAUCCACCCAAACUGACAAAAAUCAAAGUCAAAAUCAAGAAUCAAACGUAAGUAUGAUCUAUCCUUUCAUCCAUUCAUUAGCUAGUGUAAUUCUCGGAAUAUUUCAUGGCAUCGUUGUUUUUUUUUU